UACGUAGGGGGCAAGCGUUGUCCGGAUUCAUUGGGCGUAAAGAGCGUGUAGGCGGCCAGGUAGGUCGGUUGUGAAAACUGGAGGCUCAACCUUCAGAGGUCGACCGAAACCAUCUGGCUAGAGUCCGGGAGAGGAGAGUGGAAUUCCUGGUGUAGCGGUGAAAUGCGCAGAUAUCAGGAAGAACACCCGUGGCGAAAGCGGCUCUCUGGAACGGUACUG
rnacentral:rRNA from 1 species